rnacentral:lncRNA from 1 species
UUGGCAUAAUAUAAAUAAAGAUGAAAAUCUGGAAUUGUUUAAGCUAAAACUCGGACAUGAUGGAACACCCAAGACACUUCCACAUGAAAUAGAAAAGAUUGCAAGAUGUAUUGUAGAGAGAUUUCAUGGUUUACCUCUUGGAAUUAGUGUGAUGGCUNNNNNNAUGGGACCAGAGGUGGAAGAAGAAGUCUUCAAGGUAUUAAAACUUAGCUAUGAUAAUUUGAUGGAAAAAGACUUGCAAAACAGUUUUUUGUAUUGUGCAUUAUUAUUAUCUGAUUCGGAUAAGGAUAAAGAGAUCAUGAGGCUAGUUGACUUUGGACAGAUGAAUAAGAAUAUGUAUUUGGAAGAAAUAUUCGAUGAAUGGAAUGCCAUAUUGAAGAAGCUUCAAUCCCAUUCUUUGAUCAGUAUUUAUGAGAAUAAACGGAUAUUCAUACAUCACUUGGUGAGAAGUAUGGCCUGUUAUAUCAUGAAAGAGAGUCAGAGGAAUGUCAUAGUGGAAUUGAAUGAGAGAUUCACCAAAAUACCUGUCUCGUUUGGAUGUGCAACUGAUUUAGAGUUUGUUCAUAUUCGGAAUUGUGUUAUAGUAGAAAUCUCAGAGGAUCUGUCUCCAAAUUGUCGAAAGUUGUCCACCUUAAUUAUAAAUAAAGUUUCCAUUAAUCAUGUUCCAGAGAGUUUUUUCAAAUAUAUGAAUAGUCUAUCAAUAUUGGAUCUAUCCUUUAAUGAAAGUCUAGUAUCUUUGCCAAACUCCAUCACUAAUUUGAGGUCACUUGUUUCUUUAAUGUUAAAAGGAUGUCGUGCGUUGAAACAUGUGCCCCCAUUGGGAGAACUACAAGCAUUGUCAAGAUUGGUCAUUUCAAAAACUUCCAUUGAGGAAGCACCACAAGGCUUAGAAAAAUUAAACAAUUUGAAAUGGCUUGAUCUAUCCAAAAAUGAAAGAUUGGAUUUGGAAUUAGGGUCUUUCUCAUCCUAUUUGACCAAAUUGCAAUACCUCGAUCUCCGAAACACUCGUGCUGUUAUUAAGGUUGAAGAUGUUCAAAGGAUGAAGAUACUGGAAUGUUUUCGAGGUGCCAUUGACUGCAAUCAAUUCAUGCAAAACAAUCUUGAUAUGAGUUUUGGGCUCAUCAAAACAUAUCAUCUCAUAUUAGGAAAUGUAUGUGGUAAAAGUGAGUGGAAGAGUUGUUCUAAUUUGACUCGUGGUGAUUUUAAAAAUAGGUGUAUAGAAUUCCAAGAUUGUGAUCGUUUCAGCCACAUACUACCUAAAGACCAUACUCUUCUGCUUAUAUACAAGAAUAAUCAUUGGGUUUGGUUAUGUGAUGUUCUUUCAUAUAGCACUUCUUCUUCUGUAAGGACAAUACAAAUUAGUUAUUGUGAUAAACUAGAGAGCUUGUUUUGUUUAUCUGGUUCUUGUUCCUUUUGCACCAAGAUUCACAAGCUGGAAAUUUUGUCUCUUUCACAAUUGAAAAGUUUAACUGUCAUCUGUAAAGACGUUGUUGAUGUUGGACAAUCUUUGUCACCGGUUGGCAUAUUCUCUUGCCUAAAAGAAAUUAACAUUUCUUUUUGCAAUUUGAUAGANNNNNNNNNNNNNNNNNNNNNNNNNNNNNNNNNNNNNNNNNNNNNNNNNNNNNNNNNNNNNNNNNNNNNNNNNNNNNNNNUGAAAGAGAUAUUUGCAGUGAGUAACAAUGAUGACAAUGACAAUUCCAUCAUUACACUUCCCAAGUUGACCAGAUUGGAGUUGAAAGAUUUACCAGAAUUGAAGAUUGUGUGCAAAGGGAUUAUACACUGUGAAUCUUUACCGGAAGUGGACAUCGGUUUCUGCCCAUGGUUAGAUAGGCGCUCAACAAUAGAAAGAUUUAAGAGUCCUUAUUUCUGAUUUAAGAAGUACACUUUUGAUGAAUUUGAAUAGACAAAUAUAUGAAACAAGUAACAUGAAUUAUCAGGUGUGAACGGUAGCGGUCAUAACAGAAGUGUUUGUGAAAGUGAGAUUAAUCAAUUGGUUCGUGAUUUAGAUUUUGAGAAAAAUGAUAUUGCGAAACAACUUCAAUGUUUGGAGUCUCGUAGAAAAAAGCGCAAGUUUGAAGUUGAUUUUUGGUUGGAAGAAUUACAAGAUAUCAAAGAAAGUGUGAGGCAUAUGAAUAACUUAAAUGAUACUCAUCAUGUAAGUGAAUUGAUCCAAAAGAUGAAACGACACAAGGAAGAGAAACCUCUCACUUUGUCAACUGAAUAUGUCGGCUGGAGAUUAGAUGAAAAUAUCAAGAAAGUGUUGAAACUUCUUGAUGAUGACAAAGUCUUUGUCAUUGGGAUAUAUGGAAUGGGAGGAGUAGGAAAAACUUUACUUGCAACUCUCGUGGAAAAUGAAGUCAAAAGGAAAACAACUUUCAAGGAUGUGUUUUGGGUCACUGUUUCUGACAUCACUAACAUCUCAAAAUUGCAAAAUGAUAUUGCAAAAAGAAUAGGUGUAAAGCUUGAUGAAGACGAUGAGAGAAUUAGAGCAUACCAUUUGUCUUCCGCAUUGGAGAAAAAAGAAAAAUCAGUUCUUAUUCUGGAUGAUGUUUGGAGAUACAUUGAUUUAGAAAAGGUGGGAAUUAUUCCAAAAGUGAAUGGCAUUAAAGUGAUUGUGACAUCUCGUUUAGAACAUCUAUGUCACCAGAUGGAUUGUUGGUCAUAUGCUAUAAUACAAAUGUUUCCUUUCAGUUUCCUUCCAGUAUUUCAAGAUGAUGAUGAAGUUGAUCAAGAUCUGGAAUUGUUUAAGCUAAAACUCGGACAUGAUGGAACACCCAAGACACUUCCACAUGAAAUAGAAAAGAUUGCAAGAUGUAUUGUAGAGAGAUUUCAUGGUUUACCUCUUGCAAUUAGUGUGAUGGCUAGAACAAUGAAAGGGAUUGAUGACAUUCAUCAAUGGAAACAUGCAUUGAAUCAACUUAAAAAAUUUGAAAUGGGACCAGAGGUGGAAGAAGAAGUCUUCAAGGUAUUGAAACGAAGCU